rfam:Fusarium poae strain 2516 chromosome FPOA_3 Chr3, whole genome shotgun sequence.
GGGCGAAUGGUUUAGUGGUAUAAUACUCCCUUAGCAUGUUCUCGACUCCGAGUUCUUCAUUGGGAGUGGUCCAGGGUUCGAUUCCCUGUUCGUCCA